UCCAGGCAUGGUGGGGAAUGCCUGUAAUCUCAUCCACUCUGGAGGCUGAGGCAGGAGAAUCACAAGUUCCAGGCUAGCCUCAGCAACUAAGUGAGCUCCUGUCUCAA
rnacentral:sRNA from 1 species